rnacentral:lncRNA from 12 species
CCCAGCUCUGCGGCCUGUGACCUCACCCCCAGGGCUGGCCCAGGAGAGUUAGCCCUGGGGAUGGGGGACGGCCAGCACCCCGUCCUCUCCGGCACAGUCUCCCCUCUCCUGGGGCCCAGUGCGUCCCCUCUGCUGCGGGGCUACUCCCCAUGCUCCCCGGGGCCCUUACUGCUGUCCCUCCUCAGGAGCUCCAGCUCCAGGCAGGGGUCUGGGGCUUCUGGGGCAGAUGGUGUGGCCCCUCAGGGACCAGCUCUGGGCUCUGGGGAGGGGGGACCAACUCUGGCUCACGGGCAGCCUGCAUGAGCUGUCAGAGCCGCCCUGGGGCCAGAUUCCCUGGGGCCAGCUUUGCAGCCAGAACCUCUUCCAGGUAGGUCCUGGUGCUUCCAGCCCUUGCGGACAAGACCCCAGGUGUGGUUCAAAGACCACCUGCACCGGAAUCACCUGUGGCUGGGGGUGCGGCGGGCUCCUGACACAGGCCAGUUCCCUCCGCCUUGCACCAGGCCUCCUGCAGGGGAAUCUGGGGCUCUGGGGGCCUGGGAGCCUGCAGGGUCCCCAGUGUAUCCUGCACAUUCCAGUUGGAGAAGCUCAGGGGCAAGGGGCAACAGAGUUGGGGAAGCCCCGAGUAUCAGGAAUCCUAGUACUGUUUGCGCCUCGUCGCCCCACUUCCCGAAAGAUGCCAGGGAGUCGGUUUGGCCCGAUGAGCAAGCCUGAGCCCGAGCCUUCUCCUCUCCCAGCUGCCUACACUGCUCACACGUCCCCGCAAUUUCUAAAUUCAAAAUGGGGCCAUGUUCGCUGUGUGUCAAUCCCUUCCCUUGGGCGCCGUGCCUUCGGAGGCUGCCCACUGGGGAGGCGUCUGGGCUCCCGUUCUCUGGGGCUCGCAGGCAGGAGACAGGGAAGGCACCCAGGAGCCCUGCUGCGGGCCAGGGGUGCGGGCCUUCCUGGCCUAGAGCGUGCCUCCGACUUUCUAGGCACAGCGAGCGCCUCCCAAGCCCCUUUCUCUCAGAAGUCCUGGUUUUUCCCUCCAUCCCCCGUGGCAGCUUGGGUGCCAGCAGGCUCACCUGCAGAGGGACACCCAUACUGGGCCCUGGAGCAGGCGCUGGGGUGGGGGCGGAGGAGUCUGACACCCACUCUGGCCCCUGCAGAUGGUCCGAUGCCUUACUCACGCAGCAAACGUUCCUUAACACCUGCUGAGUGCGGCUUGCAGUGCUGGUGCUGG